ensembl:snoRNA
UAGCAAGCCUCCAGCAUGCUUGGUUCUGCAGUGAUCCUAUGCAUUCCUUCAAUGCUUGCUAGAACAGUUUUGAAAUUGAUGCCUUGCCCUGCUCCAUCCAGAGCAAGGUUAUAGAAAUUUCAGACAAUG